AAUAUGUGAUAUGGGCAUUCUCUCAUUAGCUCCUUGAAUCGCUCUCAUGCUUUGAAGAGCGAUUCCCCAUCUUCCUACCUAACAUAUGUAAUCUGGUUCCUAAGUU